CGGCCUCGGCAGCGGUGUUCUCGCGCUUGCGAAGCGGGCUCCGGCUCGGCUCGCGGGGACUGUGCACGAGGUUGGCGACGCCGCCCCGCCGGGCCCCAGAUCAGGCCGCAGAGAUCGGGAGCCGCGGGAGCACUAAGACACAAGGGCCACAGCAGCAGCCGGGCUCAGAGGGUCCCAGCUAUGCCAAAAAAGUUGCGCUCUGGCUUGCUGGGCUGCUUGGAGCUGGUGGGACUGUGAGCGUCGUCUAUAUCUUUGGAAACAACCCGGUGGACGAAAAUGGUGCCAAGAUUCCUGAUGAGUUCGACAAUGGUGAGUAAACAAGCACAGAUUCUGGAGUCCCUGACCCUCUCAACUCUGUCAUUUGUAAGGAUGUCUCUCUCCCCAUCUGGUGUCUCCGGCCCCUCCUCCUUCCACUGGGGAGGUGGGGGAGCCAGCAGCUGGAUGGCUUUGUGGGGAGGGACAUUACAAAGCCCAAGCCCACUUCCCUGGCCCCUCAGCCCCGAGCAGAUGGUCAGAGACAGAUGGGGGAGGGGAGCCUUGGGUGGGAGGGCUUGGGGACACAGGUGGCCUAUCUCCAGACACAUGGGUUCCUGUGCCUUAGACCAAGCAUCUGCAGUUCCCAACUCCUUCCCCAUCCCCCUCGAGCCCCUACCCCAUUAGGCUCAUUUUCAAAACAAUGCCGCCUUCCUCUCUCCCC
rnacentral:sRNA from 1 species